rnacentral:rRNA from 1 species
GGGUUGUGAGGUUAAGCGACUAAGCGUACACGGUGGAUGCCCUGGCAGUCAGAGGCGAUGAAGGACGUGCUAAUCUGCGAUAAGCGUCGGUAAGGUGAUAUGAACCGUUAUAACCGGCGAUUUCCGAAUGGGGAAACCCAGUGUGAUUCGUCACACUAUCAUUAACUGAAUCCAUAGGUUAAUGAGGCGAACCGGGGGAACUGAAACAUCUAAGUACCCCGAGGAAAAGAAAUCAACCGAGAUUCCCCCAGUAGCGGCGAGCGAACGGGGAGCAGCCCAGAGCCUGAAUCAGUGUGUGUGUUAGUGGAAGCGUCUGGAAAGGCGCGCGAUACAGGGUGACAGCCCCGUACACAAAAAUGCACAUACUGUGAGCUCGAUGAGUAGGGCGGGACACGUGGUAUCCUGUCUGAAUAUGGGGGGACCAUCCUCCAAGGCUAAAUACUCCUGACUGACCGAUAGUGAACCAGUACCGUGAGGGAAAGGCGAAAAGAACCCCGGCGAGGGGAGUGAAAAAGAACCUGAAACCGUGUACGUACAAGCAGUGGGAGCCUCUUAAUGGGGUGACUGCGUACCUUUUGUAUAAUGGGUCAGCGACUUAUAUUCUGUAGCAAGGUUAACCGAAUAGGGGAGCCGAAGGGAAACCGAGUCUUAACUGGGCGUUAAGUUGCAGGGUAUAGACCCGAAACCCGGUGAUCUAGCCAUGGGCAGGUUGAAGGUUGGGUAACACUAACUGGAGGACCGAACCGACUAAUGUUGAAAAAUUAGCGGAUGACUUGUGGCUGGGGGUGAAAGGCCAAUCAAACCGGGAGAUAGCUGGUUCUCCCCGAAAGCUAUUUAGGUAGCGCCUCGUGAAUUCAUCUCCGGGGGUAGAGCACUGUUUCGGCAAGGGGGUCAUCCCGACUUACCAACCCGAUGCAAACUGCGAAUACCGGAGAAUGUUAUCACGGGAGACACACGGCGGGUGCUAACGUCCGUCGUGAAGAGGGAAACAACCCAGACCGCCAGCUAAGGUCCCAAAGUCAUGGUUAAGUGGGAAACGAUGUGGGAAGGCCCAGACAGCCAGGAUGUUGGCUUAGAAGCAGCCAUCAUUUAAAGAAAGCGUAAUAGCUCACUGGUCGAGUCGGCCUGCGCGGAAGAUGUAACGGGGCUAAACCAUGCACCGAAGCUGCGGCAGCGACGCUUAUGCGUUGUUGGGUAGGGGAGCGUUCUGUAAGCCUGCGAAGGUGUGCUGUGAGGCAUGCUGGAGGUAUCAGAAGUGCGAAUGCUGACAUAAGUAACGAUAAAGCGGGUGAAAAGCCCGCUCGCCGGAAGACCAAGGGUUCCUGUCCAACGUUAAUCGGGGCAGGGUGAGUCGACCCCUAAGGCGAGGCCGAAAGGCGUAGUCGAUGGGAAACAGGUUAAUAUUCCUGUACUUGGUGUUACUGCGAAGGGGGACGGAGAAGGCUAUGUUGGCCGGGCGACGGUUGUCCCGGUUUAAGCGUGUAGGCUGGUUUUCCAGGCAAAUCCGGAAAAUCAAGGCUGAGGCGUGAUGACGAGGCACUACGGUGCUGAAGCAACAAAUGCCCUGCUUCCAGGAAAAGCCUCUAAGCAUCAGGUAACAUCAAAUCGUACCCCAAACCGACACAGGUGGUCAGGUAGAGAAUACCAAGGCGCUUGAGAGAACUCGGGUGAAGGAACUAGGCAAAAUGGUGCCGUAACUUCGGGAGAAGGCACGCUGAUAUGUAGGUGAAGUCCCUUGCGGAUGGAGCUGAAAUCAGUCGAAGAUACCAGCUGGCUGCAACUGUUUAUUAAAAACACAGCACUGUGCAAACACGAAAGUGGACGUAUACGGUGUGACGCCUGCCCGGUGCCGGAAGGUUAAUUGAUGGGGUUAGCGGUAACGCGAAGCUCUUGAUCGAAGCCCCGGUAAACGGCGGCCGUAACUAUAACGGUCCUAAGGUAGCGAAAUUCCUUGUCGGGUAAGUUCCGACCUGCACGAAUGGCGUAAUGAUGGCCAGGCUGUCUCCACCCGAGACUCAGUGAAAUUGAACUCGCUGUGAAGAUGCAGUGUACCCGCGGCAAGACGGAAAGACCCCGUGAACCUUUACUAUAGCUUGACACUGAACAUUGAGCCUUGAUGUGUAGGAUAGGUGGGAGGCUUUGAAGUGUGGACGCCAGUCUGCAUGGAGCCGACCUUGAAAUACCACCCUUUAAUGUUUGAUGUUCUAACGUUGGCCCCUAAUCGGGGUUGCGGACAGUGUCUGGUGGGUAGUUUGACUGGGGCGGUCUCCUCCUAAAGAGUAACGGAGGAGCACGAAGGUUGGCUAAUCCUGGUCGGACAUCAGGAGGUUAGUGCAAUGGCAUAAGCCAGCUUGACUGCGAGCGUGACGGCGCGAGCAGGUGCGAAAGCAGGUCAUAGUGAUCCGGUGGUUCUGAAUGGAAGGGCCAUCGCUCAACGGAUAAAAGGUACUCCGGGGAUAACAGGCUGAUACCGCCCAAGAGUUCAUAUCGACGGCGGUGUUUGGCACCUCGAUGUCGGCUCAUCACAUCCUGGGGCUGAAGUAGGUCCCAAGGGUAUGGCUGUUCGCCAUUUAAAGUGGUACGCGAGCUGGGUUUAGAACGUCGUGAGACAGUUCGGUCCCUAUCUGCCGUGGGCGCUGGAGAACUGAGGGGGGCUGCUCCUAGUACGAGAGGACCGGAGUGGACGCAUCACUGGUGUUCGGGUUGUCAUGCCAAUGGCACUGCCCGGUAGCUAAAUGCGGAAGAGAUAAGUGCUGAAAGCAUCUAAGCACGAAACUUGCCCCGAGAUGAGUUCUCCCUGACUCCCUGAGAGUCCUGAAGGAACGUUGAAGACGACGACGUUGAUAGGCCGGGUGUGUAAGCGCAGCGAUGCGUUGAGCUAACCGGUACUAAUGAACCGUGAGGCUUAACCUUACAACGCCGAAGCUGUU